rnacentral:rRNA from 1 species
UCCGUAGGUGAACCUGCGGAAGGAUCAUUGUCGAUACCUGCCUAGCAGAACGACCCGAGAACGCGUUAUGAACUCGGGGGAGGAGGGGCCUCUCGCCUCUCGUCCCCUUUGUCCCGGCGGGCGACCGUCGGGCGAACAAACGAACACCGGCGCGAAUUGCGCCAAGGAACCUUAACGAAAGAGCGCGCUCCCUCCGCCCCGGAAACGGUGCCUGCGGGGGGCGGCGUCGCGAUCUUCAAAUAUGUCAAAACGACUCUCGGCAACGGAUAUCUCGGCUCUCGCAUCGAUGAAGAACGUAGCGAAAUGCGAUACUUGGUGUGAAUUGCAGAAUCCCGUGAACCAUCGAGUCUUUGAACGCAAGUUGCGCCCGAAGCCACUAGGCCGAGGGCACGCCUGCCUGGGCGUCACACGUCGUUGCCCCCCUCCGCACCUCCCUCGGGAAUGCGGGGCGGGGCGGAAGAUGGCCUCCCGUGCGCCCCGCCGCGCGGUUGGCAUAAAUGCCAAGUCCUCGGCGACGAGCGCCACGACAAUCGGUGGUUGUCAAACCUCGGUGGCCUGUCGUGUGCGCGCGUCGCGACUCGAGGGCUCGUCGGACACAACGCUUUGCUUCGGCGACGCUUUCAACGCGACCCCAGGUCAGGCGGGGUUACCCGCUGAAUUUAAGCAUAUCAUAAGCGGAGGA